ACUCAAAUGAAUAGACGGGGACCCGCACAAGCAGAGGAUGAUGUGGUUUAAUAUGAAGCUACGCGUAGAACCUUACCGAGGUUUGACAUCUUCCGAAAGCCGGAGAAAUCUGGCUGUGCCCGCAAGGGAACGGAAUGACAGAUGCUGCAUGGCCGUCGUCAGCUCGUGUCGUGAGAUGUUGGGUUAAGUCCCGCAACGAGCGCAACCCUUAUGGUAUGUUGGAUUUUUCAUGCCAAACUGCCCGGGCCAACCGGGAGGAAGGUGGGGAUGACGUCAGGUCGGCAUGGCUCUUACACCUCGGGCCACUCACGUCAUACAAUGGCCGGUACAAUGCGUCUUGCCAACCCGCGAGGGGGAGCUAAUCGCAUCAAAACCGGUCUCAGUUCGGAUUGCAGGCUGCAACUCGCCUGCAUGAAGUCGGAUUUGCUAGUAAACGUGGGUCAGCAUACCACGUUGAAUACGUUCCCGGGUCUUGUACACACCGCCCGU
rnacentral:rRNA from 1 species